AUAAAUAGAAUAAUGAUGAAUGGAAAAAAGAGAAAAUCUUUUAGCUGUAUAAGGGGCGGAUGUAGCCAAGUGGAUCAAGGCAGUGGA
rnacentral:tRNA from 1 species